AACAAACGCUGGCGGCGUGCCUAAUACAUGCCAGUCGAACGGGGUAGCAAUACCUAGUGGCGCACGGGUGAGUAACGCGUGGAUAAUCUGCCUUAGAGUGGGGGAUAACUAGUCGAAAGAUUAGCUAAUACCGCAUAAGACCACAAGAGCUGCGGCUCAAGGGGUCAAAGGUUUUUCGCUCUAAGAUGAGUCCGCGUAAGAUUAGCUAGUUGGUGAGGUAAUGGCUCACCAAGGCGACGAUCUUUAACUGGUCUGAGAGGAUGAUCAGUCACACUGGAACUGAGACACGGUCCAGACUCCUACGGGAGGCAGCAGUAGGGAAUAUUGCACAAUGGAGGAAACUCUGAUGCAGCGACGCCGCGUGAGGGAUGAAGGCCUUCGGGUCGUAAAGCUCUGUCGCAGGGGAAUAACACAAUGAAUGUACCCUGUAAGAAAGGAUCGGCUAACUUCGUG
rnacentral:rRNA from 1 species